GACGAACGCUGGCGGCGUGCUUAACACAUGCAAGUCGAACGAAGUGGCGAACGGGUGAGUAACGCGUAACCAACCUGCCCUUCAGAGGGGGACAAAAGUUGGAAAAGACUGCUAAUACCGCAUAACGAAGGAGGGGAGUGCGUCUGAUUAGCUAGUUGGGGGGGUAACGGCCCACCAAGGCGAUGAUCAGUAGACGGUCUGGGAGGGUGGACGUCCACAUUUGGACUUAGACACGGCCCAGACUCCUACGGGAGGCAGCAGUGGGGAAUCUUCCGCAAUGGACGAAAGUCUGACGGAGCAACGCCGCGUGAGUGAUGACGGCCUUCGGGUUGUAAAGCUCUGUUAAUCGGGACGCGGUACCGGAAUAGAAAGCCACGGCUAACUACGUGCCAGCAGCCGCGGUAAUUC
rnacentral:rRNA from 1 species